ACCACUCUAAGCGGGGGAUCACUCGGCUCGGGAGU
rnacentral:rRNA from 1 species